rnacentral:rRNA from 1 species
GUGGGGAAUUUUGGACAAUGGGGGCAACCCUGAUCCAGCCAUGCCGCGUGUGUGAAGAAGGCCUUCGGGUUGUAAAGCACUUUUGUCCGGAACGAAACGGCGAAGGAUAAUACCUUUCGCUAAUGACGGUACCGGAAGAAUAAGCACCGGCUAACUACGUGCCAGCAGCCGCGGUAAUACGUAGGGUGCAAGCGUUAAUCGGAAUUACUGGGCGUAAAGCGUGCGCAGGCGGUUUUGUAAGUCAGAUGUGAAAUCCCCGGGCUCAACCUGGGAACUGCAUUUGAAACUGCAAGGCUAGAGUGUGUCAGAGGGGGGUAGAAUUCCACGUGUAGCAGUGAAAUGCGUAGAGAUGUGGAGGAAUACCGAUGGCGAAGGCAGCCCCCUGGGAUAACACUGACGCUCAUGCACGAAAGCGUGGGGAGCAAACAGGAUUAGAUACCCCUGUAGUCC